AUUGAACGCUGGCGGCAUGCUUUACACAUGCAAGUCGAACGGCAGCGCGGGCUUCGGCCUGGCGGCGAGUGGCGAACGGGUGAGUAAUGCAACGGAACGUGCCCCGUAGUGGGGGAUAGCCCGGCGAAAGCCGGAUUAAUACCUAAUACGACCUGAGGGUGAAAGCGGGGGACCGAAAGGCCUCGCGCUAUUGGAGCAGCCGAUGUCGGAUUAGCUAGUUGGUGGGGUAAAGGCUUACCAAGGCGACGAUCCGUAGCUGGUCUGAGAGGACGACCAGCCACACUGGGACUGAGACACGGCCCAGACUCCUACGGGAGGCAGCAGUGGGGAAUUUUGGACAAUGGGGGCAACCCUGAUCCAGCCCUGCCGCGUGCGGGAAGAAGUCCUUCGGGUUGUAAACCGCUUUUGUUCGGGAAGAAAUCCUCUGGGCUAAUACCCCGGGGGGAUGACGGUACCGGAAGAAUAAGCACCGGCUAACUCCGUG
rnacentral:rRNA from 1 species